UACGAAGGGGGCUAGCGUUGUCCGGAUUUAUUGGGCGUAAAGAGCGUGUAGGCGGCCAUACAGGUCCGUUGUGAAAACUGGAGGCUUAACCUCCAGACGUCGAUGGAAACCGUAUGGCUAGAGUCCGGAAGAGGAGAGUGGAAUUCCUGGUGUAGCGGUGAAAUGCGCAGAUAUCAGGAAGAACACCCGUGGCGAAGGCGGCUCUCUGGGACGGUACUGACGCUGAGACGCGAAAGCGUGGGGAGCGAACAGG
rnacentral:rRNA from 1 species